rnacentral:rRNA from 1 species
GGCAAAAGCUCAAAUUUGAAAUCUGGCCUCUUUUGGGGGUCCGAGUUGUAAUUUGAAGAGGAUGCUUCGGGUGCGGCCACGGCGCAAGUCCCUUGGAACAGGGCGUCGCAGAGGGUGAGAAUCCCGUCUCGAGCCGUCGGACCCGCGCCCAUGUGAAGCUCCUUCGACGAGUCGAGUUGUUUGGGAAUGCAGCUCUAAGCGGGUGGUAAAUUUCAUCUAAAGCUAAAUAUUGGCCGGAGACCGAUAGCGAACAAGUAGAGUGAUCGAAAGGUUAAAAGCACCUUGAAAAGGGAGUUAAAUAGCACGUGAAAUUGUUGAAAGGGAAGCGCUUGCGACCAGACUCGGGGGCGGGGUUCAGCGGCCAUUCGUGGCCGUGUACUCCCCGUUUCCCGGGCCAGCAUCGGUUCUCGCGGUCGGUCAAAGGCCCUCGGAAUGUGUCGUCCUUCGGGACGUCUUAUAGCCGGGGGUGCAAUGCGGCCAGCGGGGACCGAGGAACGCGCUUCGGCUCGGAUGC